AUUAGAUAGGGAUAUUUGAGAGAAUAUAUUUUAAUGAUAUCAUUUAGACUUUUUAUAUUAAGCAAAAAGUUAAAAAUUGGCUUAAUAACUUAAUGACUGAAAAUUUUCAUUAAGUUGACAAAACAAAUGGAUUUAGUGAUUUAACUGAUUGAACUUAAGUCAAUUAAGCCAUUAAUAAAAAAUAAAUAAAUAGCCCCUUAGUGUUUGGAGAUUUUAAUAUCUUUGUUUUAUUAUUUGAGGCUAUAUAAAGUUAGACUGGAAUCAUAGUUUCUUAUCCUAUUCAUAGUAUUUAAGUCGAAUGUAGUCUUGUAUUUGCACCUUAUGGCAUUUGUAUUGUUGGCCUUUUGGUUCUUUGAAUGAAAGUCAUCCUUCAAAAAAAAAAAAAAUUCUAUUAAAAGAAUAAAAAAUAUAUAUUCUUAUGAAGUUUUCAGCCCUUCAAAAGAAAAAGAUAAGAUUUUAGAUUUCAUAAAUCUUAAUUAUUUUUUUUUACUUUGAAACGUGUUUUAUAUGGCUUUGAAGUUUAUGUGUUUUAUAUUAAUUAUUAUUUUCAGCCCUUCAAAAAAAAAAAUCAUUAAAUUAUAAAGUUUGUUACGGUAUGGGCUCACAACUCUACCACUGGUGCUAAAAGCUGAUUCAGAAGCAACUGUUGUAAUUGGAAUUGUCAAAAUAUCUCUAGCAAUUCAAGCUAAUGUAGGAUACCUAUUAGCAUUUGUCUUCCACCAACUCAAAAUAUUAAAAUCUUCCUUCCGGGGUAUAACUUUCUCAUCCAAAUAUGAAUCUAAUUCAUCUGCAACAACUGCACAAUCUCCAUUGUUUACAUAAUCAUCAAAACCUGUUAUCCAUUUGGUUGCUUUCUUAUAAGAAUCCCCUGUAAAUCUAGUACAAGAACUACUACCAGUAUAAUCAAAGCAAUAAACAGUUGGUGAAAACUUCAAUUAAUACUCUUAAACUAAUUCCCGACAAAGGGUGACCACUUUCCCAACAUACAACUAUUUUGAUAUUUAUUAUUUUUAACAAUAUUUAUAAUUUUGUUAUUUAUUUAUUAGUAAUUUUAAAAAUAAAAAUAAAAAUAAAAUUAAAAAUUAAAAUGGAGAAAUGGGUAGGGGAUGGGGAUUCCACCUCAUCCCCGUCCCCUCCCCGAAUAAAAAAUUGGGUAAAAAAUUUUCUCCGUCCCCUCCCCGAAUAAAAAAUUGGGUAUAAAAUUAUUCUCGUACCCUCCCCGAAUGGGAAAAAUCCCCGAGAGCACCCCGUGGGGAUUUUUGCCAUCCCUACACCUCACCCAUUCUUUUGAAAUCUCUGACAGGAUUUUUCCCACUAAUUAAUUUAUUUACUGCCAGAGCUUUUAUUUCAUCGCAGAUAUCAUUUAAAACCACAGUAACGGCAUCAGUAGGUUAAAAUCUCCCAAGUUAAACAGCUGGCAAAAUACCUGUAAAAUGAAGAAUCCAACGCCCCAUAGAUUUAAAUUUCAAACUAAUAAUUUAAUAAUCCAAGCUCAUUUCCAAAUUCCUGACAGGGACGUAAAUAUAAAUUUAAGGCUGUGACACCCCCACUUCUUUUUGUAAUAACACCCUCCAACUAAUAAUCCUUGAAUUGAUAAUUGUCAUACAUAUCUCGAUUUAGUUAUAAGCGAGAAACAAACUCUAGUUUAACAGUGUAAUAUACGUUACUGAUUAAGUGUAAUAUUUUUGUCAACAAAAAGGACUGCAGUGCAACUAAUCCAUCAUUUGAAAGCCCAUGUCUUACUGAAAACCUAAAUUAAUUGAGAUAUCAGUUGUCGAGAAAUUGUACAAUUUGCCCCAAAUUGUUUUCUUCAGAAAAUCAAUUGACUUAUUGGAGUUAACAGAGUGUAAGCUGAAUUCACCAAGAAGUAAUGUGAAGUACUCUUCUUUGACAACAUUGAGUCUAACACGAGCUUAUGCAAAGAUCAGGUAAUUGAGAGUAUGGUUGAUAAACGUCCAUCGAUUGAGUAUUAAUGAUAGAUAUACGGAGUUCCAUUACCGAAAGUUGUGGAUGACUUGCUCUGGAAUUUCACCUCCUCUCGAGGCGUUGUCAAUGGAAUGUAAGUGUGGUUCCUUCUACAAGUUUUCUUUUUAAGUGCCAUAUAUUUUUCAUUUCUGAGAACUCAAAGCCUUUACCCAUGUUGCAAAUAUGCAACAAAUUGGAAGACAUUCAAACCAAACCCUAAAAUCCUCUCUUCUCUCUCUUCAGUAACUGUGGUUUUGCUUUGGCGCUUGUUGUUGUCGGUGGACUUAUUGGUGUUAGGGGAGCUGCUGUGGUUGUUUAUUUCUUCUGUUUUAUGUUUAUGUCCUUUAUUUUGUUUUUUAAUAUUGUAUUGUAUUGUAUUAUGUUGUAUUAUUGUUUGUAAUUAGAUACUUUGAUUUUUUCUUUUUUGAUUGUUAGGGGAUUUCACCUACAAUAGUUGAGGUGAGUAUAGUUUCAUAAAAUUUCUCAGGUUUUUAGAGAUUUAAUGGGUGAAAUCUUUCCUCUCCUAUAAGGAAUUAGAAGUUCUUAGGUGGCAUUUGUUUUUUUGUUUGAAAUUUGAAUAGAUCUAAAUUAAUCUAAAUUUUGAAUAGAACUAAAUGUCUGAAUUUGAAUGAGAUGUUUGUUUUUUUUUUUUUUGUCUUAAUUGAUACAAGUAUUAAGUUGUUUGUUUUUUAUCUUUAAAAAAUUGAAAACUAGUAUUUUUACAUUUAUGUCCUUAUAAAUUAUAAAUGUUAAACAAAUAAUAAACAUUUCAAACAACUUAAAUAAGAUAAUAUAUUAUCUUAAUAUAAAUUAUUUUCAGUUGAAUACAACCCUUUAUAUCAUGUAUUAAUAUAUGUUAAUCAAUUUUAUUGUAGUUUAUAAUAUUUUUAUAUGAAAAAUAUUUCUAAAAAUUAUGAAGAUAAAUAAUGCUAAUUUGAAGAAAAUAAAAAGAUAAAAAUAAUAAUAGUCUACCACUAUAUUAUCAUAAGUUAUAAAAAUAAUACUAACUAUUAAAUUUUAUUUAGGAACGGAUAAAAAUUAAUUGAUUAGAUAGGGAUAUUUUAGAGAAUAUAUUUUUAUGAUAUCAUUUAGACUUUUUAUAUUAAGCAAAAAGCUAAAAAAUUGGCUUAAUAACUUAAUGACUGAAAAUUUUCAUUAAGUUGACAUAAACAAAUGGACUUAAUGACUUAACUGAUUGAACUUAAGUCAAUUAAGCCAUUAAUAAAAAAUAAAUAAAUAGCCCCUUAGUGUUUGGUGAUUUUAAUAUCUUUGUUUUAUUAUUUGAGGCUAUAUAAAGUUAGACUGGAAUCAUAAUUUCUUAUCCUAUUCAUAGUAGUUAAGUCGAAUGUAGUCUUGUAUUUGUGAAAUACUAACUAGGCAACCCAAGAGGGGGGUUGAAUUGGGAUUUUAAAAAUUAUCCUAGGCAAACCACACAACAAUUUAAUCUAUUGCCUUAAUCAAAUUGAAAACAAUAAAUUCAAUCAUGCACAAUAUUAAAAGAGUAAGGGAAGAGAAAACAAACACAAUGAUUUUUACGUGGUUCGGCAAUCCCCGCCUACGUCCACGCCUCCAAGCUCACCGGGCUUGAGGAUUUCACUAAGCUAGCCUCCCAAGGCUUCAAACGCUUACAAUUGACUUCCAAUGUGUCAAUGGACCUUUACAACAAGAGAUUAUCUCCAAUCUCUUAACCCAAGUGUAUCCCAACACUUACAAUCUUUUAACUUGAUUUUACAAAAAGGAUUACAAAUGAAUCUCUCUCACACAAUGUGUUUGAUCACAAAUGAAAGCUCAAUGUGUAAAUGAAUGAGAUGAAUACAAAAAUUUAAAGCUCAAUGAAAGUUGUAUUCUCAAUAUUUUACUCAAUGAUGAUCGUUGGAAAUCUUCUUGUUUGAAUUGGAUUGAGAUUAUUUAUAGUUGGAGGUGAAAAAACUACCCGUUAUAGACUGUCUGCUAGAAAACGGUUCGCCGUUAACCAUUAACGGUUAACCGUUUAGGCCGGUCAAAGUUACCGUUGGGCCAAUUUUUAAAUAAACGGUUAGCCGUUUAGGCUUACCCUUUCGCCGUUAAUUUCCAGAGACCUGCAAAACAAAUUUGGUUUAACCGUUCUUACUAAACGGUUCAAGGUUAGCAAUCUGAAAAUAAUCGGUUAACCGUUUUCAGUAAACGGUUCACCGUUAGUUUCCAGAAUCAUCAUUUUAACAAUACUUUGCAGAACAUGCUUUCUGGAAAUUAUCGGUUAGCCGUUUUAAAUAAACGGUUAGCCGUUUGCUACAGUGAUUGCUACAGUGAAAAUAUUUUUUAAAGUUAUAGUUUGACCCCGAAACUUUAUAAAACUAUAUUACGGCCCAAGACGUUAUGAAAAUUUGCACAUAGGUCCAAUUUCAGAAUUUCUAAGUAAUGCUUUGUUAAUCCCAAAACUUUCUGAAAUUAUGGUAUAGCCCAAAAUGCUAUUACACUUUUCAAAUAAGUCCUUUACCAAGAUUUCAAGCAAUACUUGUUUAUUUCAAAGUUUUCAAAAUUCUUUCAAUUAAACCAUAAACUUUGAAAAACAACUAAUUUCAUAAAAUCAUUUUUCCAUUAAAUAUAAAACAUUUAUAAUGUGAAAAUAAUGAUUUAUUUAAAAAGAAUAUUAAAUAAUUUGAGCUUAAAAGAUUAAUCAUUCUUAAUCUUGUUUGUUAUCAUCAAAAUUAAUAUUAUGGAAACAUAUAUGUUAACAAUUUGCACCUUAUGGCAUUUGUAUUGUUGGCCUUUUGGUUCUUUGAAUGAAAGUCAUCCUUCAAAAAAAAAAAAAAUCUAUUAAAAGAAUAAAAAAUAUAUA
rnacentral:lncRNA from 1 species